UCCAGCAACCAUAUCACCCUGCAGCUCACAACUAGCAUCCCACUGAAGCUAAGCAGGUGUGAGCCUGGUCAGUACCUGGAUGGGAGACCUCCUGGGAAAAACUAAGGUUGCUGCUGGAA
ensembl:rRNA 5S_rRNA 5S ribosomal RNA